AACAAUUGGGACCAGGAUCAAUGGCCUGGUCCCAACCAACUUGAACAUUAAGACUCCUUGAACAAUACAUUCCAACUAUUUUUCUUUCUUUUUAUUUGUUUUUCUUUUGAGGGUUAGUAUAGGCCUGUGAAAUAGGUCAGAAUAACCCAUCUCAGUUCUCAUUGUCCAAGGUCCAAAUUUUAUCUGACUUUAGGUCAUUUCAGCCCAUUCGACUAGUUGGACUAGACUGGACCAUGGUACCACUGGCACCCUAUUAUUGUUAGCCCAUAAUUUUUAUUUUUUUAUUUUUUAUUUUAAAGACUUUCGAUAUUUUAGAAGAAAGGUUCAAUCAAUCAAUCCUCUUAUCUUUAUAUCUCAAACAGAGCAGAAAAAUUUGUAUGAAACGGGAAUAGCACUGUUUUGCUAUUUCAAGCCAAUCAUAAUCUGUCAUGUAAAAAAAUUAUCAUACGUGACAUAUUAUAAUUGACUAGGAUAGCAAAAUAAUCUAUCCCAGUUUCAUAUAAGUGUUUCUCCAAACCGAGAGAUUAUGCAUUGAGAUCCUAGUGGGAGCAAUGAAUCUGGAACCUUUGGAACAUUUCAUGUAUGAGGAGACGAGACGUUUUGAAAGUAAUGUUUGAUGAAUUACAUAUUAAUCAAUCUUCGACUUGCGUGCAGGUCUGAGGUUAUGGUUAAAAAAGCUUGGUCUAAAAUAAGUCACUUUCUCUUUGUCAUUUGCACUAGUGUCACUCAGAGAAUCUCAUAAUGAUAUCUUGAACUCAGAUUUCAUUAAAAAUAAGAGAAAGUUACUUCUUCUUUUUCGAGCAAACCAAAGUGGUAAUACUCUUACAAGACCACCUAAAAUUGAUUCGGCUCUAUACUCUCUCCCUUCUCCCACCAUUUUCCUUGAAGAUUAAAGCUCAA
rnacentral:lncRNA from 1 species